AUCACAAUUUCAAUUGAGCAAGAUUUAUAAAUAAUGUAUCACUUAAGCCUUGAUCUUCUUGAGUUCACUCUCGUACUUGACGGUGUACUUCCUCUCAGGGUCGUACUUGGCCGUCAGCUCGUUCCAGUACUCUUCUUCGUUGUUGAUCAGGUACUCGAUCACACGCCGGGUUCCCUUCUUCUGGGUCUCAGUACAUUUGCCACACUCGUUCUCCAGAGCUUC